AAGAAUCGCCAAAACGGUGCUGCGGCCUUGAUGCUGGCCUCUGCGGCCAAUAAGGUCUCUUCAAGUUCUCGUCGGUCCGUCCGUCUGGUUUUCGGGUCUUUUUUUUUGUUGUGCUACCUUUUUAGCACCGUAGGACCAACAUCGGCUGAUUGGAGGACGAAAAUGUCCUUUAACUGCGUUGCUACCUAACCUAACCAUGAGCUCAUGUUUGGUUAUAGCCUGUAACCCAAACAACGGCAGUCCAAGGGUCGAACGUCAGUAAAGCAGUUUGGUUUGCUAGUCUGGAGAAACUAAAAAGAGUACCUUAGGAGCGCUGGGGAAUGCAACAGCGUCUGGAUCCCUCGCUGGUGGAUGGUGUGCGUUGCGGAUGUGGCGGUGACCAGUGUGGCGGUGACCAGGGUGUCGGUAGCCGAUGUGGCGGUUGUUGAUGCAGCGGUUGGUGAUGGAAGCCUUCUUCUUUGUGCGGCAGUGGAGGUGGAGGAGGCGUGGAUUUUGAUUUUUAUGUUUUUGACUUUUAGUUUUGAAAUGUCCACUUGUUUAUUUUAAUUUUAAUUUCUAUUUCUUUUCAGGUUUUUAAUAUAUUCCUUUUUUCAGGUAUUUAACGUUCAUUUCAUUUCAGAUUUUUGACAAAGUUUUUCUUCUCUUUUUUUUUUUUACGUUACCAUUUCAAUUGGCUCUUUAUGUAUCGUCUCUUCACUUUUCAGGCAUUUCAAAUUUUCUAUUUCUUUUUUUUUUUUUUAAAAAACUGUCCUUUUUAUUUUGUUUAAAUCCGUUUUUUUCACAUUCAUAUGAAUUUAAAUAAAACACAUUUACCAAAUUUAUUUCUGGUCUUUUCUUUUACGUAUUUUUCUUGUUGAUCACUCCACCUCCGUACGCUGCCAAGUCCCAAUCGAAAAAGAAAGAAGCUUCCUUGGGUCACCGGCCGGCUUGGCUUGGAUUCGCCUCCAUCAUCAAAUUUGACUUCCAGCGGGCACCAACAAAACAUAUGGUGGUAGCCAUAAUUGUCAAUUGGUGUCAGCUGGCUGUCUCUUUCGUUGACAGAGGCGAAUUAAAACCAUCAGAUGGCGCUGGCGGUCUUCUAUCCGCUAACAGAUGUCGCUAGGGUCGCACAUUAGGCCGCACACUACAAACCAAACCAUCCUUUGAACAUCACUGUUAAAGGAUGGGAGGGAGAAAAAUAACAAUUUCUCUCAGUGUAUUCCAUGCCAUAAAGUGUAUAUGCUCCUUACGCCAAACCUAUCUCACUGUGUGUAGGUCCCAUUAAUAAUGUGUAAGUCUUCCUCAACUAGUAUACCUUGAGUUAACCAUUUUUAUACCUUACGGAUAUACCUUCAUCAAAUUAAUUGGAAGCAAUUGCAGCAGACGGACGACGCGGGAAAUAAUUUUCACCAACAAAGCAAAAAAAAAAGGAAACCCACGUCAUGGACCUGCGAACUCGCAACGGCUGCCUCGCUUGAGAGCAUGAGCCAUGCCAUUUGUGGUCUAACGCUGUGGUGUGCCCAAGAUAAACGAACUGGUAAGUAUCAAAUAGAUGGUGCACCUUGGUGUAUCCUCUAUGACUUCUCCUAGCCGCCUCUCAUCACUCACCACGGCAUCCCUCGCCCCAUGUCCAAGAUGCCAUAGCGAUAGAAAGACGGGUCGACCCGACAUACACCGAGGUCGUCAAGAGGCUCUACCGUGGUUGAGUGAUCUCCUGGGGCCGGCAUCGAGAGAUGACAAUCUCUCGUCCGGACAAAACGCCUUCCGCCGCAACUCGCGUUCCAUGUCCAAGAUGCCAUAGUGAUAGAAAGACGGGUCACCCAUUGCGAGGUUGACAGCGAGCUCUCCGGCGGUCGAGGCACCCCAGAGGUUGGCAGAGAGAAGUAGCACGAAUCAGCGCGUAAUCUUGCGCACAUCACACCACGGGACCCCUCUUGGCGGUUCAGCACUCGCGAGAGCGUAAGACCACGAGUCCACUCCAACAACCUCACCUGGACCAUACGGGUAAGUCCAUGGUAAGUAUUAACACCCUUUUACAGCGCCACCCUAAAUCAAAAAUUGCAAAUAUACACCCCAUUGCACAAUUUGUGCACUCGCCCAAGGAUGUAAGCCCAUGGCUUGGAAAUAUACGCACACUUGUAUAUUUGCCCACUACUGCCUUGAACACACACACACACCCACCAUUCGAGAUGAACCUGAGGUAUAAUAUGGGCACGAGGCAAAAAUCAUUCGGACCUCUGCAACGAUCACCACUUAAGUUAAGUAUAAAUCAUAAAAUACAAUUCAAAUCUAAAUUCUCUUCUAAUUC